CCUACGGGAGGCAGCAGUGGGGGAUAUUGCACAAUGGGGGAAACCCUGAUGCAGCGACGCCGCGUGAGUGAAGAAGUAUUUCGGUAUGUAACGCUCUAUCAGCAGGGAAGAAAAUGACAGUACCUGCCCAAGAAGCCCCGGCUAACUACGUGCCAGCAGCCUCGGUCAUACGUAGGGGGCAAGCGUUAUCCGGAUUUGCUGGGUGUAAAGGGAGCGUAUACGGUUAUGUAAGUCUGGAGUGAAAGCCCGGGGCCCAACCCCGGGACUGCUUUGGAAACUGUGUAACGGGAGGACAGGAGGGGCAGGCGGAAUUCCUGGUGUAGCGGUGAAAUGCGUAGAGAUCAGGAGGAACACCGGCGGCGAAGGCGGCCUGCUGGACUGAAACUGACGUUGAGGCUCGAAAGCGUGGGGAGCAAACAGGAUUAGAGACCCGAGUAGUC
rnacentral:rRNA from 1 species